CACGUAGGCGGCUUGGUCAGUCCGAUGUGAAAGCCCCCGGCUCAACCGGGGAAUGGCAUCGGAUACUGCCUGGCUCGAGGACGGUUGGGGUGAGUGGAACUCCUGGUGGAGCGGUGAAAUGCGUAGAUAUCAGGAGGAACACCAGUGGCGAAAGCGACUCACUGGACCGUCUCUGACGCUGAGGUGCGAAAGCUAGGGGAGCGAACG
rnacentral:rRNA from 1 species